rnacentral:rRNA from 1 species
UAUCUCUGUAGAGUCUGCAUAUCAAUAAGCGGAGGAAAAGAAACUAACAAGGAUUCCCUUAGUAACGGCGAGUGAAGCGGGAAGAGCUCAAAUUUGAAAUCUUCAAGGUUUUACCUUGACGAAUUGUAGUUUAAAGAAGUGUUUUCUGUUGGAAUUUUGGUAAAAGUUCUUUGGAAAAAGACAUCAAAGAGGGUGAGAAUCCCGUAUUUGACCAUUAUUUCCAGCUUUGUGAUACACUUUCGAAGAGUCGGAUUGUUUGGGAAUGCAGUCCAAAAUGGGUGGUAAAUUUCAUCUAAAGCUAAAUACUGGCGAGAGACCGAUAGCGAACAAGUACCGUGAGGGAAAGAUGAAAAGAACUUUGAAAAGAGAGUUAAACAGUACGUGAAAUUGUCAAAAGGGAAGCGUUUGACACCAGUGUUGUUUUUUCGAAAAUCAAUUAAAAAAGAUUGGAUUUUGUGUUGUAUUGACUUUAUCAGCUUUCUGCACUCUUUUCUUGUCUUUUUUAAUGCACUUUUCGUUUAACAAGUCAACAUCAAUUUCUUUUGUUGUAAAAGGGUCAUUGGAAGGUGGCUUUCUUUUCGGAGAAAGUGUUUAUAGCCUUUGGCCUCUGCAAUCGGAGAGAUUGAGGUCUGCAGCGUAGAUCCUUCGGGGUUAGAUACAUUUGUGCUAAGUUAUAGCCUUUCAUAGACAACUUGUUGACUAUGAUCAGUCAUGUAGCUUACUCGCUUAUGUCAUUUUACCUACGCUUAGGAUGUUGAUGUGAUACUGCGAGCA